rnacentral:rRNA from 1 species
CCUCGGGUGGCAGCAGUGGGGAAUAUUGCACACCGGGGGAAACCCUGAUGCAGCGACGCCGCGUGAGUGAAGAAGUAUCUCGGUACGAAAAGCUCUAUCAGCAGGGAAGAAAAUGACGGUACCUGACUAAGAAGCCCCGGCUAACUACGUGCCAGCAGCCGCGGUAAUACGUAGGGGGCAAGCUUUAUCCGGAUUUACUGGGUGUAAAGGGAGCGUAGACGGCAGCGCAAGUCUGGAGUGAAAUGCCGGGGCCCAACCCCGGAACUGCUUUGGAAACUGUGCAGCUCGAGUGCAGGAGAGGUAAGCGGAAUUCCUAGUGUAGCGGUGAAAUGCGUAGAUAUUAGGAGGAACACCAGUGGCGAAGGCGGCUUACUGGACUGUAACUGACGUUGAUGCUCGAAAGUGUGGGUAUCAAACAGGAUUAGAUACCCCAGUAGUC